rnacentral:lncRNA from 1 species
GAGAGGUUAAAUUUAGUUGAAAGAGAAAACGAGUACUUGAAAGAAAAAUUGAAAAGAAUUGAGGGGGAGAAGAUGGAAUUGGAGUUGCAUGUUGCCGAUGUCGUCGAUGAUCACAAGAUCAAGAUGAAGAAAAUGCGCUUGAAGAUUAGAAAGAUUAGAAAAUAUGCCAUCGAUAGUGAGGCUUGGUAUCAUUAUGCUGUUGGAUCAAUUGUUAUCUUAGUUGCAAUCUUGAUCGCAUUUGUUGUUGCAUUUAAAUGCUUUAGCUAGAGAGUUAUUUGUUUGUUGCAUUUAAGUGUUGUAUGAACUUUAUGUAUGAACUUGUAUUAAUUUGGUCUAUUCGGUGUUGUGUAAUGAAGAUGAGCCGGCAAUGGAUGUACGAUGACUGAUGCUCUCCCCAGUUCGUUGAGGGCGUGCAUACUUUUCUGCUUGCGGCUGAGGCAAACAAGCGGGCGGAUGGUUUUAUGCCUUGUCCAUGUGCUGGCUAUAAGAAUGGUCGCAAUUACUCUACGUCAAGAACCAUUCACGUCCACCUGUUUGAGUCCAGUUUCAUGCCCCACUAUAAUGUUUGGACCAAGCACGGAGAAAGAGGGGUUAUGAUGGAAGACAAUGAAGAAGAAGAGGACGACGACAGCUAUCCUGGCCAUGGGUUCCCUGAAUACGAUGAUACAACAAUGGGGGAAGAAGCUGAGCCGGUAAUGCGGGAAGAAGCUGAGCCGGCAAUGCGGGAAGAAGCUGAAGAAGAGGCAUCAGAUGAGCCCGUUGAUGAUCUAGGUCGGGCCAUUGCCGAUGCAAAGAGAAACUGCGCAAGUGAUUUGGAGAAGAAGAAGUUGCAGCGCAUGUUAGAGGAUCACAAAAAAAUUGUUGUACCCGAAUUGCGUAGGUGACAAGAAAAAGUUGGGCACCACACUGGAAUUGCUGCAAUGGAAGGCAGAGAAUGGUGUAUCUGACAAGGGAUUUGGAAAGUUGCUGGUAAUGAUAAAGGAUAUGCUUCCAAAGGACAACAAAUUGCCCGAGAGUACGUACGAAGCAAAGAAGGUUGUCUGCCCUCUAGGGUUAGAGGUGCAGAAGAUACAUGCAUGCCCUAAUGAUUGCAUCCUCUACCGCGGUGAGUACGAGGAUUUGAACGCUUGCCCGGUAUGUGGUGCAUUGCGCUAUAAGAUCAGCCGCGAUGAGCAUGGUGAUGUCGAGGGCGAGCGCCCCAGGAAGAAGAUUCCUGCCAAGGUGAUGUGGUAUUCUCCUAUAAUACCACGGUUGAAACGUUUGUUCCAAAACAAAGAGCAUGCCAAGGCAAUGCGAUGGCACAGAGAAGACCGUAAGAAAGACGGAAAGUUGAGAGUACCAGCUCACGGGUCGCAGUGGAGAAAUAUCGAAAGAAAGUACGGGAAGGAGUUUGCAGAUGAUGCAAGGAGCGUAUGGUUUGGUCUAAGCGCAGAUGACAUUAAUCCUUUUGGGGAGUAGAGCAGCAACCAUAGCACCUGGCCUGUGACUCUAUGUUUGUAUAACCUUCCUCCUUGGUUGUGCAUGAAGCGGAAGUUCAUUAUGAUGCCAGUGCUCAUCCAAGGCCCUAAGCAACCCGGCAACGACAUUGAUGUGUAUCUAAGACCAUUAGUUGAAGAACUCUUACAACUGUGGAAUGGAACAGGUGUACGUGCGUGGGAUAAGCACAUGGGGGAAGAAUUUGACCUAAAGGCGUUGCUGUUCAUGACCAUCAAUGAAUGGCCUGCUCUCAGUAACCUUUCAGGACAGACAAACAAGGGAUACCGCGGAUGCACGCACUGUUUGGAUGAUACCGACAGUAUAUAUUUGAAUAGUUGUAAGAAGAAUGUGUACCUGGGACAUCGUCGAUUUCUUCCGAGCAGGCAUCCUGUAAGAAAGAAAGGCAAGCAUUUCAAAGGUGAGGCAGAUCACCGGACGAAGCCUCGCCACCGUACUGGUGCUGAUGUACAUGAUAUGGUCAAGGAUUUGAAGGUGAUAUUUGGAAAGGGUCCUGGCGGACAACCUGUUCCAAAGGACGCUGACGGAGGCGCACCCAUGUGGAAGAAGAAGUCUAUAUUUUGGGACCUGCCAUAUUGGAAAGACCUAGAGGUCCGCUCCGCAAUCGACGUGAUGCACGUGACGAAGAAUCUUUGCGUGACCCUGCUUGGCUUCUUGGGCGUGUAUGGGAAGACAAAAGAUACACCUGAGGCACGGGAGGACCAGCAACGUAUGCACGGAGAAUACGACAUACAUCAGGGUCAUGCAAGCUACGCUCUUACCAAAGAAGAGAAGGAAAUCUUCUUUGAAUGCCUGCUCAGUAUUAAGGUACCGUCUGGCUUCUCGUCGAAUAUAAACGGAAUAAUAAACAUGGUAGAGAAAAAGUUCCAGAACCUAAAGUCUCAUGACUGCCACGUGAUUAUGACGCAACUGCUUCCGGUUGCAUUGAGGGGGCUUCUACCGGAAAACGUUCGAUUAGCCAUUGUGAAGCUAUGUGCAUUUCUCAAUGCAAUCUCUCAGAAGGUAAUCGAUCCAGAAAUCAUACCAAGGUUACAAAAUGAUUUGGUGCAAUGUCUUGUCAGUUUCGAGUUGGUGUUCCCACCAUCCUUCUUCAACAUCAUGAUGCACGUCCUAGUUCACCUAUGCGAAGAGAUUAACAUUUUGGGUCCUGUAUUUCUACACAAUAUGUUCCCCUUUGAGAGGUUCAUGGGAGUCUUAAAGAAAUAUGUUCAUAACCGUGCUAGGCCAGAAGGAAGCAUCUCCAAGGGCCAUCAAAAUGAGGAGGUCAUUGAGUUUUGUAUUGACUUUAUUCCUGACCUUAAGCCGAUUGGUGUUCCUGAAUCGCGGCAUAAGGGCAGACUGGAUGGAAAAGGCACGCUAGGAGGGAAACAAAUAAUAUGUAUGGAUGGACAUUCUCUCACUGAAGCACACUACACAGUUCUACAGAAUUCCGCCUUGGUGGCUCCGUAUAUGGAUGAACACAAGAAUUUGCUACGCUGCAAACACCCGGAGCGGUCUGAUGACUGGAUUACACGUGAACAAACCAGGAGUUUCGCCAGCUGGUUGCAGACACGUACCAUGCAUGACACCUCUAUUGAAGAUGACCUGUACUUGCUGUCCCAGUUACCAUCUUCGAAUAUAAUGACUUUCAAAGGGUACGAGAUAAAUGGUAAUACAUUUUACACGAUUGCCCAAGAUAAGAAGAGCACCAACCAAAACAGUGGUGUCCGCUUUGAUGCAGAAACCAAGACGGGAAAGGAAACAUAUUAUGGUUAUAUACAGGACAUAUGGGAACUUGACUAUCGACGUGGUUUAAAGGUCCCUUUGUUUCGGUGCAAAUGAGUCAAUAUGACACGAGGCGGGGUAACGGAAGACCCGCAGUACGGAAUGACAAUAGUGGAUCUCAACAAUCUUGCGUAUGCAGACGAACCAUUCGUCCUAGCCAAUGAUGUGGCACAGGUUUUCUAUGUGAAGGACAUGUCUACCAAGCCAAGAAAAAGAAAAGAUAAGGAAGCGAAUGCAUCGUACGAUGAGCCAAAGCGGCACAUAGUUCUUUCUGGGAAGAGAAACAUUGUGGGAGUGGAUGACAAGACAGACAAGUCAGAAGGUUAUGAAAAGUUUGAUGAAAUUGCUCCAUUCACAGUGAAUAGUGACCCGAGCAUCCCGUUAAAUGAUGAAGAUUUUCCAUGGUUACGGCGCAAAGGGACACACGCGAAGAAAAAGUUUCACACCCAAAGAUCUGGGAUGUGAUCGGCUUCACUAGCUAUCAUCACUUUCUUCUGUGUUUCGCACCGAGAGGGGAAUCUCUGUAAUAGUUAGGGUAGUUAUGUGUUUUGGCAUUUGAAACGCGAAGAAAUUUUAUGUGCAAACAAAUUUACACUAAUUUCAAAUAAUUCAAAAUUUAAACUAUUCAAAUUUGAAAACUACGGGCACUAACAGAAAAAAUAGCAGAAAAGAAAGAAAAACUAUAGCUGAAAAGAAAAAAAACUAUAUAAAAAACUACUCAAAAAUAAAUAGAAGAAAAUAAAUAUAGCAGAAAAGAAAAAACUACUCAGAAAUAAAUAGAAGAAAAAAUAAAGCAGAAAAGAAAAAAAAUUAUAUUUGCUAUUUUUCAGUCGUUUACAAAAUGACCGUGAAAUUGAAAAUCACUACAAAAUGAACUCUGAAAAUGUUGAAUUUUCGCAAACUAGAUGAAAAACUACUCACAAAUAAAUAGAAGAAAAUAAAUAUAACAGAAAAGAGAAAACUAUACAAAAAACUACGCAAAAAUAAAUAGAAGAAAAUAAAGCAGAAAAGAAAAAAACUAUAAAAAAAAAUUGGGGCGCUGUCCUGUGGGCCUGAUAGGCCACAGGUGUUUAACUACAGGCCUUAAAGGCCCAGCAGACUCACAGGGCAGCGCGCAGAGUUUAGACCCACAAGCCUGCUAGCUAUAUAGAGGAGUUCGAAGUGGUGGCCGUGGCUGGGUUUAUAAACCAGUGUGGCUGCCCUUCGCCCGGCGAGGUGGGACUAAACUUUGGGGUGGCAGCGCGACCCCUUUAGUACCGGGUCGUGGCACAAACCGGUACUAAAGGGGGGGCCUUUAGUACCGGUUUGUGCCACCACCCGGUACUAAAGGGGGUCGCUUCCCGCCGCUUGGGCUGGCCAAAACAGACCUUUAGUACCGGUUGGUGGCUCCAACCGGUACUAAAGAUGCCUUCUAUAUAUACAACACUUCGAAAAAUUUCAUUCUUCCUCUGUUUCCGUCGUCUCCAUCGCCGUCGCCGCCCCCGUCCCCAUCGCCGCCCUCGUCUCCGUCGCCGCCCCCGUCCCCGUCACCGCCGUCGUCUCCGUCGCCGCCCCGGGCCCGCCCCCGUCCCCGUCGCCGCCCUCGUCUCCGUCGCCGCCCCCGUCCCCGUCGCUGCCGUCGCCUCGCCGUCGCCGUCACCCCGCUGUGAGCUCUCCCCCUCUAACCUCUCUCCCUCGCCCCCGGCGGCCACCAUGGGCGCCGCCCCUCCCAGCCCCGAGCACACACACACACACAAGCAUGAAUUAGUAUAUAAUUUAGAUUAUUUAGAUUAUUAUUGUUUUAGUUAUCAAAACACACACACACACACACAAGCAUGAAUUAGUAUAUAAUUUAGAUUAUUAUUGUUUUAGUUAUCAAAAAUUUUUAUAUGGAAAUUAGUGUUUAAUUAGUGUUUAAUUAGUAUGGAAAUUUUUUAUGUUUAAUUAGUAUAUAAUUUAGAUUUUUAUUAUUAGUAUAUAAUUAGUGUUUAAUUAGUAUGGAAUUUUUUUAUAUAAUGUUGUUUUUCAGUUUUUUAAUGGAUGUAUAGAAGUUGUGUUUUCUGUUUUUAGUGUUAGAUGCUUAAUUAGUAUGAAAUAGUAUAUAGAUUUUUGAAAUAGUAGAAAUGUUAGAAAUUUUAGUUAUCAAAAUCCAAUCAUUAAAAAAAUAUUACUUUUUGCGGGCAUAUAGCUAGUAUUUGUUCUCGACGAUGCCCGGCCCGCAUCCUCGCCGUCGACCCGUCCGCGACGAUGUCCAGCCGACCCCUGUCCGGGACUGGGCUCCGCCGGGCUGGCACUGGGAGGUGCUGCCUGGAGGGGCGCGCCGCUUGAUGAGGAACCCGGCCCCGGGUUCCGUCGUCGACCCUGAUCUCGUUUGGUGGCGUUCGCGUGGGCCAGUUUCGGUGCGGAGGGACCCGGCCCCGCCGGAGGAAGUACGUCGCCGUGUCAGGGAGGAGGACGAGCACGUCCAUCGCUACAUGGUUGCGUUAAAGGGCGGCAGGUUCUCCAAUACCUGGCAGUAUCUUCGGGGAUCUCACUUCAGCUAUGGUCCUGUGAGGGUUCCUUCUCUUUGGGUGUCCACCGCCCGCACCGCAGGAACCGCGAGUGUCCUAGAUUCUUCUGUAGUAUUCGAUCUUUAAUUAGCUAGCCAGUGAUGUACUAUUCAAUAUUAUAUAUUAUUCGAGACAAUGUAUUCGAGAUUAUAUCUAUUAUUCUAUACGAAGUAUUCGAGAUUAUAUCUAUUAUUCGAGACGAUGUAAUUUGAAUACUAAAUUGUUUUAUAUUUCUUUUGAAUUAGUUAAAUAAAAGCUAUGGUAGACAAUACCGACAGAGAGGGAGAACAGACCAUGUUCGAUAUGAUACGCGGGCCAGAUGAUGAUCAGAAUGAAGAAGAUUAUGACGGCUCCGAAUUUCUAAACAACACCGGAGAGGGUGAUAUGAUAUUCGAUCGCGACGACCGAAUUGAUGAAGUCAUGAACUACGAUUAUGACGAUGAUGAAGAACAUGUUGAUCCUGAAACAACAAAGACCGGUGAGGUAUAUAUAUUUAUAUAAGCAGGUAUCUGGUGAUCAUCACAUGUUUUAAAUGACUUGAAGAUAUAUUAACAAAUCGAUCUUUGUUCUUUCAGCCAUCCGGAUCGAGCAAAUCUUCAGGCAAAAGGACGAAACAAGGCCCGAACAAAAAGUUGAAGGAGGGCAUAAAGUACAAUAUCGAGGCAUUCAGACCUAAUGGCGAACCAUUAGCGCCUAAGAAGAUUGCGGACAAGUUCGUUCGUCAGUGCGGAGUUCUUGUGAAGGACCAACUCCCAAUCUCCCUUCAAGAAUGAAGAGAGCCAGCAAAAGACAAAAGACAAAAAGGCAAAGAGGACGCUGCUCCACGUCCAGAUGUUACUUUUGUCGACAAGAAUCAAAAAGAUCUGCUUUGGGAUACUCUCAUGGAACAUUUCACCCUACCAGAUCAUUUCACAGAAGCAGAUGUGCAGAAAGUCAAGGACGCUUCUCUUAGGAAGAUGGCGGUUGCAUUCAAGAACCACAAGAAUCGUGAAUGGAACAAGUACGUCAAGGGAGGAAGGAAGACUCCAGUAUUCGAGGGAACCCUAGAGAACCAACGUGCUCAUUGGGACAAUUUCGUGAAAUUCAAGGAUUCAGAAUUAGCUAAGGAACGGUCGAGAAUAAACAAGAAGAAUGCCGAAAAAAAGGAUAAGUUCCAUAAGCUGGGGCAGGUGGCUAUGCGGUGGCAAUGCCUAAGUGGGAUAAGUCUGAGAAAGACAUGGAGGAUGCAGGUGCCACUCCGGUUACUAAGAGCUGGCCCCCCAGGGUCAGGACAUGGUUCUAUGCGCAUGGGGGGGGGGGAGUUGGACAUGAAGACAGGCAAUGUUUCGACGAGGGCAAGUCUGAAGGGAGCCGACGAUGCGAUACUUGUUGCAAUAGAAGAGGCACGAUCGGGGGUGUUCGAGCCCAACAGAGAGAACGACGAGCUUACGCGUGCCCUGGGAAAUCCUGAACACCCGGGAAGAACACGAGGCAAGGGCGCUAUUCCGUGGUAUGAGGGGUUUUCAGACUGGAACAUCGACUACAGAACCCGUGCGAGAAAGAAGAUUGCGGAGGAGAAGAAGAGGAAGAUGGAGGAGGAGCAGAGGAAGCGGGACUAUGAACGCCUUCAAGGCCUAGAAGCAAGUCAAGCGGAAUUGGCAAUCAAAUUCCAGCGGCAGCAGGAGCAGAUCGACUCACUUACCCAGCAAAGGGGGUCUCAGCAGCUGCAGCAGCUGGCGAAUGAUCCAGCAUUGGAUAGCACCGCCCCAUCCAUGCCGAGAAGCAGCAUGGGUUCCGCCCCGGACGACGCAAUGCUGGAUAGAUACCCCGUGGAUGACAUCACGGAGAACACUAGCUGCGAGCUACACGUCAAAAUGAAGAACAUAUCCAUGAAGGUGGCGGACGCCGUUGCUUUUACAAAUCCCCCCAAGGAAACCUUCCAUUGCAACCCGAUUCCAGCGGGCUAUGCUCGUGUCUUGGUUGAUGAGGUGGUGGACCCAUAUUCGGAGCUACAUCUUGACUAUCCUGGAGGUGACGACGAGCGCUUUCUCGGAGAGGCCAAACAUCGUAUCAUCCUAUGGAAAAAGGAUUGCAUCAUCUUUCGAAGGCCACCGACACCGCGUCAGCCGACUCCUCGUUGAAGUCCGCCACCGAGUCAGCAGUCUCCCACUCCUGCAAGUCCACCAAGUCCGGCAAAGUGUCAGGCCACUCUUCCUCCAAGUCCAGCAAAGUGUCAGGCCACUCCUCCUCCUCCAAGUCCGCCACAGCGUCAGACGUCCACUCCUCCUCCAAGUCCGGCACAACCUCAGGCCACUCCUCCUCCAAGUCCAGCACAGCUUCAGGAGGCCACUCCUCCUCGUCCAACUCAGCCCCUUCAUCCAUCUCCGCCGCCUCAGCAAUCGCAGAAGAGACACCCCGCAGCUAUGGUGCGUAGCGGUACGAGUCGAGGUAGUACAGGAAGUACAGGCGGAGGCAAGCGAUAUAAAUAUGGUCCAAGCCUCACGCCUCUUCCGCAGAGGUCUUAUGACAGGUCCGAGGAGGAAAUCGCAGCCAUAUCGAAGUCCGAGGUGGAAGCCCAUUUUGCAUCGAAACCGCCACCGCCGCCAAGGGAGAAAGUGCCCGAGGAAACGAUUGACCACUUCAUUCGUAUGGCUGAACCACCAGCUCCUAAGCCUAUUGACACAUACUAUGAGCGGCACAUCAGGAAGUUAAAUCGAGCACGUCUACGUAAGGAGGCGAGCUCGGGAUCGAGCAAACAAGAAGCAGCUGUCAAAAAAUGCGGGAAAACCAUUCCCCAGCUGGGAGAACAGGCGGCGCAAUCGAUCCCCUCGCUUGUUGUGCCAACAACACGUGACAGUACGCGCGCCCAAUAUUAUUGUGGGCAAACAGUUUACGUUCCUGAGGUGGGCAAUGUGGUAAUAACGAAGGAGCAUAUAAUGCAGGCUGAAGUUCUCAAAAUCACUGUUGGACAACUCCUCGAGAUCGAGCCCAUGCCUGUGCUUAGAGAGGAUGAAAUAAAACGGAAAUAUGUCCGGGGCCAACCUUUGGUCGAGCCAGACAAGGUCAAGAACCUCCCAACGAGAAUGUAUGAAUUGCAUCAAUGGUACAUGAACAUUACCAAGAUUUCCGAUGGAGUGUCCCUCAUGGUGAAUGUCAAGAAGGAGCAUUACUACCAUGAGAAAGCUGUGUCCGUUGAGUAUUCUGAACUGCUUCAGUUAUACAAUCAAGACGCACUCGACAAAUCUAUCGUCAGUUGCUAUUGUCUGUAAGUGAUUUCUUUCUGUAAUUUAAGUCUCAAGCUAGCUGUAGUGAUCCUUUUGAUCAAUCAUUACCUGUAAUUAUCCUCACUAUAUUCUUUUCUAUGGUAUUAUAUGCAGGAUGAAGAUGUAUGAAAUGAGAAAAGGUGGAUGCUUUGGCAUUGGGUUCAUUGACCCAAACACCGUUAAUGAAUACACAUGGAAAAUAGAUCCACGUCAUCAAAAGGCCGUAGAGGACAGCAUGCUAGAGUUCUUGAAGCGCCUCAAAUACAAUGAAGAUAUACUACUUCCUUACAACUUCCAGUGAGUCACACUGUCUUGUACUACAAAUUCUCUGUUUUUGCCUACUAGCUAGCUACAUGUUUUUGCUUACAUAUGCCCGCUUAAUUAAGACAUGCAAACGUGUGUGCAUGCAUAUUUCACUGGGUCUUGUGUAUCAUUAAAGUUGACGCCGGGACAGUUGAAAUACUGGACUCACUACUCAAAGAAAAAACUGACUAUAACAUCUUGUUUGGGAUAGUCAACAGGUAAUUUCAAUCAUUAUUAACUAUAUAUCUCGGCCUAUUUAGUUCGUCAUUUCAUGAUAUGAACUAUUUAAUAACCCCUUUAUUCAUUUUCUUUAUCGGCGGGCAGGGCUUGGGCAAGGUUCAUCAGCAUCAUGGAAGGUGAAUGGAAAGAAAAGCUUAAAUGGGGAAGACCCAAGGUAAGUAAUUAAGUAGUACUAGCUAGCUAGCUAGCAGCUGCCAUCUCUUUAAUUAUCAUGCUUGAUUAAUUAUUAUCUGAUCAAAUUCCAUUCUCGUAAAGGCCCUGAAGCAGGCACAGGGGACUGAUCUAUGUGCAUUCUGCGUUUGUGAGAACAUUCGCAUGAUGGCGUCCGGAAGGAGCUGAUCUCAAAGACAGGAAUGGGUACGCUUGUCAAAACACUAUUCACAAGUUUUACACCAUUAUCGAUAUCUAGUCACACAACUAAUACACAUGCAUAUUGAUCUCCUUCUUAACAAUUCAGAGAGGUGCGGGAGAAGCUCCUAGAAACGGAGCGCGUAGAAGCACUUCAAGAGGAAAUAGCGGGAUUUUUGCUCGACCAGGUCAUAAAUCUGAAGGGAUAAUACUAUUACCCGCUACCGCCCCCAUGAAAACCACUUCCAAUUGUCAUCGUGCUCCGAAGGCACCAAUAUAGGCUAAUGCCACUGGCUCCGAAGGCAACAUGCAUAUGUAGGAGAAAUUGUAUAUAGCUAUACAUGUGUGUAUGUGUGAAUUAAUUAAUAUGAUGGUUUGUGAGACAUUGAUGAUAUAUAUAUAUAUAUAUAUAUAUAUAUAUAUAUAUAUAUAUAUAUAUGCAUAACGUGUACAAUGUGUAGUAUCGUAAAAUACCAGCAAACGAAAAAGAAUUAAAAUGGAAACACAAAAUUAAAUGAAAAGGAAAUCAUAAAACUAAAACCCCCCCAAACCUUAUAGUACCGGUUGGUCUUACCAACCGGUACUAAAGGGCUCCCGGCCCCCGGAGCUGGCUCGUGCCACGUGGUUGCCCUUUAGCACCGGUUCGUGCUGAACCAGUACUAAAGGGGGGGGGGGCUUUAGUGACCACAAUUUAGUGCUGGUUACGUAAGCGGCACUAAAGGGCCUUACGAACCGGUGCUAUUGCCCGAUUCUGCACUAGUGGCCCCACCACCUGCAUGAUGUGGAUUGGUGUGGGAAGGUGUAGUCAGGUGACUUAUAAGUGAGGUGACAAUCAAACAGGCGUGACUUAUAAGUCACUAGUUUUAAGUCACCUGACUUAUAAGUCAGGUGACUUAUUGAAACCAAACAGGCCCUUAGCAUCCAUAUGCACGGGCCCCUUAAUUUAAUCAUUUUGAUGUGGACACCAGCGUCGACGGCGGUUAGGCCUCACGGCGAGUGGCAGGCGAAAUCGACCGAGUGCGCGUCGACGCUUUAAUGCGGGGUGAGCGCCACCGCCUUCCAGAGGGCAGCGGCAUGGACCUACAGUCGAGCGCCAUGGACGGACAGGACGUGGUCCCUCCUGUCGACGGCGCACUCGGCACCCGCCUGGACAUGAGCCCAAGGUCUUGUGCGUGUACUUGGACGGAGGCUGCCGAAGAUGGAGUCGGCGGGGACGCGGUGGGUGGUCCCCGGCGGAGCUUUAUGAAGAAGGUGAGACCUUCAAUUCGAGUCGUCCAUGGGUGCCAUCAGCGCACCUCUACCGGAGCUGGCCUCACCUACAGCAUCCACCCCGUCCACAACCACCAGCGAUGCCGUUCUAGAGCUUGCUGUGAGUGACAAGGCGCUCGAAGUCGAUACGGCCGACGUCGCCGCUCGGAUGAAAACGAGCGAAAACGAGUACUCCCUCCGUCCGGAAAUACUUGUCAUCAAAAUGAAUUAAAGGGGAUGUAUCUAGAUGUAUAUUAGUUCUAGAUAUAUCCUUUUUAUCCAUUUUGAUGACAACGGAGGGAGUAUUUAACAAAACACUACCACAAUUUAUGCAAACGUGCCUAGAAACUACCACUUUAUAAAUUUGUGCCGAAAACUACCAUUUUUUCUCUAAUCUUUAACUAAAAACUACAAUGUCCGUAAAUCGACCCAUUCGUCCAUUUUAAACGCACUUAUGACAGGCAUGGCCCGCAUGUAAGUGCUGGCAUCGUUAGUCAACGCCGUUUGUACCCGCUGCUGCUUGCCCGUUCCGCCGUGCGUCGCGCUUCCGCUCGCACGCUGGACACAACAAUGUUCAAUGCGCGCGGCUGUGCGUUCGCUUCCACGCACGCGAGAAGCAGGGCAGCGGUAGCGGGAACGGCGAAACAUGGCAGCAGGGCGCCUGCGCUCCUCGAGGUAGCCAAGGGUGGGGAACGCGCGGAUCCAGGCGGCAGGGAUGGUGGAUCCGGCGAGGUUGGAGAGGCCUGGGGUUGAGGUCCUCGCGGUCAGGGUCGCUGGAGCGGUGCGGUCUAAGCUUCGGGCCAUCCAUGACGUUUUCUAUAGCAGCAAAGGAUGAGAGUGUAAUGACCUGGCGGAUCUCGAUCUAGAAUUGGGAUGAGGAAGGAGAGAACAGAGUAGGUGAGAGGCGUGGAGAAGGGGAAGAAGGAUUCGAUCAAUCACUCGUUGCCCGAUUCCCUUGGUGCUUCGUACAUAUGUAGCUGCCCUUCCUGGGCUACCCUUACAUGGCCUCCGGCCCACACGCACACACGGGCUCAAGGCCCACACACACACUAGCGUUGCAGUUCAGUUAUCUGAAUAACUGACUGCACUAGUUCAUGUUGGGGAACGUAGCAGAAAUUCAAAAUUUUCCUACGUGUCACCAAGAUCUAUCUAUGGAGAAACCAGCAACGAGUAGAAGGAGAGUGCAUCUACAUACCCUUGUAGAUCGCUAAGCGGAAGCGUUCAAGUGAACGGGGUUGAUGGAGUCGUACUCGUCGUGAUUCAAAUCACCGAUGAUCAAGUGCCGAACGCACGGCACCUCCGCGUUCAACACACGUACAGCCCGGUGACGUCUCCCACGCCUUGAUCCAGCAAGGAGAGAGGGAGAGGUUGAGGAAGACUCCAUCCAGCAGCAGCACAACGGCGUGGUGAUGAUGGAGGAACGUGGCAAUCCUGCAGGGCUUCGCCAAGCACCGCGGGAGAGGAGGAGUACUUGGGAGAGGGGGAGGGCUGCACCAGAACUUCGUCUAUGGCUCCCAUGCGCCUCCCCACUAUAUAUAGGGGUGGAGGGGCUGGUUUCUUGCCCUCCAAGUCCAUUGGGGCGUUGGCCAAGGUGGGAGGAAAGAAAUCCCAUCAUUUCCUUCCCCACCGAUUGUUAUCCCCCCUUUUUAGGGAUCUUGAUCUUAUCCCUUCGGGAUAUGAUCUUAUUCCUUCUAAGGGGGGAUCUUGUUGCGCCUUGACCAGGGGUGUGGGGCCUUGCCCCCACUACCCACGUUCAUGUGGGUCCCCCCAUGCAGGUGGGCCCCACUCCGGAACCUUCUAGAACCUUCCCGGUACAAUACCGAAAAAUCCCGAACAUUUUCCGGUGGCCAAAAUAGGACUUCCCAUAUAUAAAUCUUUACCUCCGGACCAUUCCGGAACUCCUCGUGACGUCCGGGAUCUCAUCCGGGACUCCGAACAACAUUCAGUAACCACAUACAAACUUCCUUCAUAACCCUAGCGUCAUCGAACCUUAAGUGUGUAGACCCUACGGGUUCGGGAGACAUGUAGACAUGACCGAGACGUUCUCCGGUCAAUAACCAACAGCGGGAUCUGGAUACCCAUGAUGGCUCCCACAUGUUCCACGAUGAUCUCAUCGGAUGAACCACGAUGUCAAGGACUUAAUCAAUCCCGUAUUCAAUUCCCUUUGUCUAUCGGUAUGUUACUUGCCCGAGACUCGAUCGUCGGUAUCCAAUACCUUGUUCAAUCUCGUUACCGGCAAGUCACUUUACUCGUUCCGUAACACAUCAUCCCGUGAUCAACUCCUUGGUCACAUUGCGCAUAUGAUGAUGUCCUACCGAGUGGGCCCAGAGAUACCUCUCCGUUUACACGGAGUGACAAAUCCCAGUCUCGAUCCGCAUAAAACAAUAGAUACUUUCGGAGAUACCUGUAGUGCACCUUUAUAGUCACCCAGUUACGUUGUGACGUUUGAUACACCCAAAGCACUCCUACGGUAUCCAGGAGUUACACGCUCUCAUGGUCAAAGGAAGAGAUACUUGACAUUGGCAAAGCUCUAGCAAACAAACUACACGAUCUUUGUGCUAUGCUCAGGAUUGGGUCUUGUCCAUCACAUCAUUCUCCUAAUGAUGUGAUCCCGUUAUCAACGACAUCCAAUGUCCAUAGCCAGGAAACGAUGACUAUCUGUUGAUCACAACGAGCUAGUCAACUAGAGGCUCACUAGGGACAUAUUGUGGUCUAUGUAUUCACACAUGUAUUACGAUUUUCAGAUAAUACAGUUAUAGCAUGAAUAAAAGACAAUUAUCAUGAACAAGGAAAUAUAAUAAUAAUACUUUUAUUAUUGCCUCUAGGGCAUAUUUCCAACAGUAUCCCACUUGCACUAGAGUCAAUAAUCCAGUUCACAUCGCCAUGUGAUUAACACUCACAGGUCACAUCGCCAUGUGACUAAUACCCAAGAGUUUACUAGAGUCAUUAGUCUAGUUCACAUCACUAUGUGAUUAACACUCAAUGAGUUUUAUGUUUGAUCAUGUUGCUUGUGAGAGAGGUUUUAGUCAACGGGUCUGAACCUUUCAGAUCCGUGUGUGCUUUACAAAUCUCUAUGUCAUCUCCUAGAUGCAGCUACCACGCUCUAUUUGGAGCUAUUCCAAAUAACUGUUCUACUUGGAGCUAUUCUAAAUUGUUGCUCCAUUAUAUGUAUCCGGUCUCUCUACUCAGAGCUAUCCAGAUAGGUGUUUAGCUUGUAUCGACGUAACCCUUUACGACGAACUCUUUUACCACCUCCAUAACCGAGAAAAAUUCCUUAGUCCGCUAGUUACUAAGGAUAACUUUGACCGCUGUCCUAUGAUCCAUUUUUGGAUCACUCUUGUACCCCUUGACUGACUCAUGGCAAGGCACACUUCAGGUGCGGUACUCAGCAUGGCAUACUGUAGAGCCUAUGUCUUAAGCAUAGGGGACGACCUUCGUCCUUUCUCUCUUUUUUGCCGAGGUCGAGAUUUAAGUCUUAACUUCGUACCUUACAACUCAGGCAAGAACUCCUUCUUUGACUGGUCCAUCUUGAACACCUUCAAGAUCAUGUCAAGGUAUGUGCUCAUUUGAAAGUAUUAUUAAGCACUUUGAUCUAUCCUUAUAGAUCUUGAUGCUCAAUGUUCAAGUAGCUUAAUCCAGGCUUUCCAUUGAUAAACACUUUCAAAAUAACCCUAUAUGCUUUCCAGAAAUUCUACGUCAUUUCUGAUCAACAAUAUGUCAACAACAUAUACUCAUCAGAAAUUCUAUAGUGCUCCCACUCACUUCUUUGGAAAUACAGGUUUCUCAUAAACUUUGUACAAACCCAAAAUCUUUGAUCAUCAUCAAAGCAUACAUUCCAACUCCGAGAUGCUCACUCCAGUCCUUAGAAGGAUUGCUGGAGCUUUGCAUACUUAUUAGCAUCUUUCGGGAUUGACAAAACCUUCCGGUUGUAUCACAUACAACCUUUCCUCAAGAAAAUCAUCGAGGAAACAAUGUUUUGACAUCCUAUCUGCAAGAUUUCAUAAAUAAUGCAGUAAUCGCUAAUAUAAUUCCAACAGACUCUUAGCAUCGCUACGAGUGAGAAAAUCUCAUCGUAGUCAACUCCUUGAACUUGUCGGAAAACAUCUUAACGACAAGUCGAGCUUUCUUAAUGGUAAUUCUUACCAUCAUUGUCUGUCUUCCUUUUAAAAUCCAUCCGUACUCAUUUGCCUUACGACCAUCGAGCCGUUCUGCCAAAGUCUUCACUUUGUUUUCAUACAUGGAUCCUCUCUCGGAUUUUAUGGCCUCAAGCCAUUUAUCGGAAUCCGGGCCCACCAUCGCUUCUCCAUAGCUCGUAGGCUCAUUGUUGUCUAGCAACAUGACUUCCAAGACAGGAUUACGUACCACUCUCAAGUAGUACGCAUCCUUGUCAUCCUACGAGGUUUGGGAGUGACUUGAUCUGAAGUUUCAUGAUCACUAUCAUAAGCUUCCACUUCAAUUGGUGUAGGUGCCACGGGAACAACUUCCUGUGCCCUGCUACACACUGGUUGAAGUGAUGGUUCAAUAACCUCAUCAAGUCUCCACCAUCCUCCCACUCAAUUCUUUCGAGAGAAACCUUUCCUCGAGAAAGGACCUGAUUCAAGAAACAAUCCUUUAUUGCUUUUGGAUCUGAGACAGGAGGUAUACCCAACUGUUUUGGGUGUCCUAUGAAGAUGCAUUUAUCCGCUUUGGGUUCUAGCUUAUCAGCCUGAAACUUUUUCACAUAAGCAUCGUAGCCCCAAACUUUUAAGAAACGACAACUUAGGUUUCUCUAAACCAUAAUUCAUACGGUGUCAUCUGAACGGAAUUAAGUGGUGCCCUAUUUAAAGUGAAUGUGGUUGUCUCUAAUGCCUAACCCAUGAACGAUAGUGGUAAUUCGAUAAGAGACAUCAUGGUAUGCAUCAUAUCCAAUAGGGUGCAGUUAUGAUGUUCGGACACACCAUCACACUAUGGUGUUCCAGGCGGUAUUAAUUGCGAAACAAUUUCCACAAUGUCUUAAUUGUGUGCCAAAACUCGUAACUCAGAUACUCAUCUCUAUGAUCUUAUCAUAGACAUUUUAUCCUCUUGUCACGAUGAUCUUCAACUUUACUCUGAAAUUACUUGAACCAUUCAAUAAUUCAGACUUGUGUUUCAUCAAGUAAAUAUAUUCAACAUCUACUCGAAUCAUCUGUGAAGUAAGAACAUAACGAUAUUCACUGCAUACCUCAGCACUCAUUGGACUGGACACAUCAAAAUGUGUUACUUCCAACAAGUUGCUAUCUUGUUCCAUCUUACUGAAAACGAGGCUUUUCAGUCAUCUUGCCCAUGUGGUAUGAUUUGCAUAUCUCACGUGGUUCAAAAUCAAGUGAGUCCAAACGAUCCAUCUAUAUGGAGUUUCUUUAUGCGUAUACACCAAUGGACAUGGUUUGCAUGUCUCAAACUUUUCAAAAACGAGUGAGUCCAAAGAUCCAUCAACAUGGAGCUUCUUCAUGCGUUUUACACCAAUAUGACUUACAUGGCAGUGCCACAAGUAAGUGGUACUAUCAUUACUAUCUUAUAUCUUUUGGCAUGAAAAUGUGUAUCACUACGAUCGAGAUUCAAUAAACCAUUUAUUUAGGUGCAAGACCAUCGAAGGUAUUAUUCAAAUAAAUAGAGUAACCAUUAUUCUCCUUAAAUGAAUAACCGUAUUGCGAUAGACAUAAUCCAAUCAUGUCUAUGCUCAACGCAAACACCAAUCUCGGUGGUAGAGGGAGCGUGCGAUGCUUGAUCACAUCAACCUUGGAAACACUUCCAACACAUAUCGUCAGCUCACCUUUAGCUAGUCUCCUUUUAUUUCGUAGCUUUUUUUAUUUCGAGUUACUAACACUUAGCAACUGAACCGGUAUCUUAAUACCCUGGUGCUGCUCCAGUGGCUGUUCCCUUUAUUACAGAAGCACUUAGUCUCGGGUUUGGGUUCAACCUCGGGUUUCUUCACUGGAGCAGCAGCUGAUUUGCCGUUUCAUGAAGUAUCCCUUCUUGCCCUUGCCCUUCUUGAAACUAGUGGUUUCACCAACCAUCAACAAUUGAUGCUCCUUUUGAUUUUUACUUUCGCGGUGUCAAACAUCGUGAAUACCUCAAGGAUCAUCAUAUCUAUCCCUGAUAUGUUAUAGUUCAUCACGAAGCUCUAGCAGCUUGGUGGCAAUGACUUUGGAGAACCAUCUCUAUCUCAUCUGGAAGAUCAACUCCCACUCGAUUCAAGUGAUUGUUGUACUCAGACAAUCUGAGCACAAGCUCAUCGAUUGAGCUUUCUCCCUUAGUUUGCAGGCUAAGAAAAUCGUCGGAGGUCUCAUACCUCUUGACGUGGGCACUAGCCUGAAAUCCCAAUUUCAGCCCUCGAAACAUCUCAUAUGUUUCGCGACGUUUCGAAAACGUCUUUGGUGCCUCUACUUAAACCAUUUAACUGAACUAUCACGUAGUUAUCAAAGCGUGUAUGUUCGAUGUUCGAAACAUCCACAAACGACGUUUGGGGUUCAGCACACUGAGCAGUGCAUUAAGGACAUAAGCUUUCUACUGUCCGCAUAAUUGCUACUAUCAACUUUCAACUAUAUUUUCUCUAGGAACAUAUCUAAAACAGUAGAACUAAAGCGUGAGCUACGACAUAAUUUGCAAAAACCUUUUGACUAUGUUCAAGAUAAUUAAAUUCAUCUUAUGAACUCCCACUCAGAUAGACAUCCCUCUGGUCAUCUAAGUGAUCACAUGAUCCGAGUCAACUAGCCCGUGUCCGAUCAUCACGUGAGACGGACUAGUUAACGUCGGUGAACAUCUUCAUGUUGAUCGUAUCUACUAUACGGCUCAUGCUCGACCUUUCGGUCUCCGUGUUCCGAGGCCAUGUCUGCACAUGCUAGGCUCGUCAAGUUAACCCUAAGUGUUUUCGCUGUGUAAAACUGUCUUACACCCGUUGUAUGUGAACGUAAGAAUCCAUCACACCCGAUCAUCACGUGGUGCUUAGAAGCGACGAACUGUAGCAACGGUGCACAGUUAGGGGAGAACACUUCUUGAAAUUUUGUAAGGGAUCAUCUUAUUUACUACCGUCGUCCUAAGUAAACAAGAUGCAUAAACAUGAUAAACAUCACAUGCAAUCAAAUAGUGUAGUGACAUGAUAUGGACAAUAUCAUAUAGCUCCUUUGAUCUUCAUCUUCGGGGCUCCAUGAUCAUCUUGUCACCGGCAUGACACCAUGAUCUCCAUCAUCAUGAUCUCCAUCAUCGUGUCUUCAUGAAGUUUUCACGCCAACGACUACUUCUACUUCUAUGACUAACGCGUUUAGCAAUAAAGUAAAGUAGUUUACAUGGCGUUCUUCAAUGACACGCAGGUCAUACAAUAAAUAAAGACAACUCCUAUGGCUCCUGCCGGUUGUCAUACUCAUCGACAUGCAAGUCGUGAAUCCUAUUACAAGAACAUGAUCAAUCUCAUACAUCACAUAUUAUUCACCACAUUCUUGUUGGCCAUAUCACAUCACAAAGCAUACCCUGCAAAAAAAGUUAGACGUCCUCUAAUUGUUGUUGCAUGUUUUACGUGGCUGCUAUGGGUUUCUAGUAAGAACGUUUCUUACCUACGCAAGACCACAACGUGAUAUGCCAAUUGCUAUUUACCCUUCAUAAGGACCCUUUUCAUCGAAUCCGUUCCGACUAAAGUGGGAGAGACUGGCACCCGCUAGCCACCUUAUGCACCAAGUGCAUGUCAAUCGGUGGAACCUGUCUCACGUAAGAGUACGUGUAAGGUCGGUCCGGACCGCUUCAUCCCACAAUACCGUCGAAACAAGAUUGGACUAGUAACGGUAAGCAUAUUGAACAACAUCAACGCCCACAACUACUUUGUGUUCUACUCGUGCAAAGAAUCUACGCAAUAGACCUAGCUCAUGAUGCCACUGUUGGGGAACGUAGCAGAAAUUCAAAAUUUUCCUACGUGUCACCAAGAUCUAUCUAUGGAGAAACCAGCAACGAGUAGAAGGAGAGUGCAUCUACAUACCCUUGUAGAUCGCUAAGCGGAAGCGUUCAAGUGAACGGGGUUGAUGGAGUCGUACUCGUCGUGAUUCAAAUCACCGAUGAUCAAGUGCCGAACGCACGGCACCUCCGCGUUCAACACACGUACAGCCCGGUGACGUCUCCCAUGCCUUGAUCCAGCAAGGAGAGAGGGAGAGGUUGAGGAAGACUCCAUCCAGCAGCAGCACAACGGCGUGGUGAUGAUGGAGGAACGUGGCAAUCCUGCAGGGCUUCGCCAAGCACCGCGGGAGAGGAGGAGUACUUGGGAGAGGGGGAGGGCUGCGCCAGAACUUCGUCUAUGGCUCCCAUGCGCCUCCCCACUAUAUAUAGGGGUGGAGGGGCUGGUUUCUUGCCCUCCAAGUCCAUUGGGGCGUUGGCCAAUUGGGAGGAAAGAAAUCCCAUCAUUUCCUUCCCCACCGAUUGUUAUCCCCCCUUUUUAGGGAUCUUGAUCUUAUCCCUUCGGGAUAUGAUCUUAUUCCUUCUAAGGGGGGAUCUUGUUGCGCCUUGACCAGGGGUGUGGGGCCUUGCCCCCACUACCCACGUUCAUGUGGGUCCCCCCAUGCAGGUGGGCUCCACUCCGGAACCUUCUAGAACCUUCCCGGUACAAUACCGAAAAAUCCCGAACAUUUUCCGGUGGCCAAAAUAGGACUUCCCAUAUAUAAAUCUUUACCGCCGGACCAUUCCGGAACUCCUCGUGACGUCCGGGAUCUCAUCCGGGACUCCGAACAACAUUCGGUAACCACAUACAAACUUCCUUCAUAACCCUAGCGUCAUCGAACCUUAAGUGUGUAGACCCUACGGGUUCGGGAGACAUGUAGACAUGACCGAGACGUUCUCCGGUCAAUAACCAACAGCGGGAUCUGGAUACCCAUGAUGGCUCCCACAUGUUCCACGAUGAUCUCAUCGGAUGAACCACGAUGUCAAGGACUUAAUCAAUCCCGUAUUCAAUUCCCUUUGUCUAUCGGUAUGUUACUUGCCCGAGACUCGAUCGUCAGUAUCCAAUACCUUGUUCAAUCUCGUUACCGGCAAGUCACUUUACUCGUUCCGUAACACAUCAUCCCGUGAUCAACUCCUUGGUCACAUUGCGCAUAUGAUGAUGUCCUACCGAGUGGGCCCAGAGAUACCUCUCCGUUUACACGGAGUGACAAAUCCCAGUCUCGAUCCGCAUAAAACAAUAGAUACUUUCGGAGAUACCUGUAGUGCACCUUUAUAGUCACCCAGUUACGUUGUGCCGUUUGAUACACCCAAAGCACUCCUACGGUAUCCAGGAGUUACACGCUCUCAUGGUCAAAGGAAGAGAUACUUGACAUUGGCAAAGCUCUAGCAAACGAACUACACGAUCUUUGUGCUAUGCUCAGGAUUGGGUCUUGUCCAUCACAUCAUUCUCCUAAUGAUGUGAUCCCGUUAUCAACGACAUCCAAUGUCCAUAGCCAGGAAACCAUGACUAUCUGUUGAUCACAACGAGCUAGUCAACUAGAGGCUCACUAGGGACAUAUUGUGGUCUAUGUAUUCACACGUGUAUUACGAUAUCCGGAUAAUACAGUUAUAGCAUGAAUAAAAGACAAUUAUCAUGAACAAGGAAAUAUAAUAAUAAUACUUUUAUUAUUGCCUCUAGGGCAUAUUUCCAACAGUUCAGUCCGCUACUGAUGCAUCAGUAGGCGCGACAUUGUCCUCCCCUUGAGGUGAAGCUCCUUCCCAGAUGCAGGCUGAUGGGUAGCACUGGCGAAGAACGGCAUAAUCUUCCCAAGUGGUGGCUGAUGGUGGCAUGUUUGCCCACUGGACACGGAGUUGCACAACUGGUGCAUCGCCUUUCUUCAUCAUCCUCCACUCCAAGAUCGCCACUGGCUCCGUUUCACCCCCAGUGAGAUCGGGCACCCGCGGCAGCUCGGCGAAGACUGGAGUGUAAUCCGGGGUGAAGGGUUUGAGCUGGGAGACGUGAAAUACCGGAUGGAUGCGGCUGUCAGGAGGCAACUGCAGGCGAUAUGCCAGAGUUCCAAUCCGCUCUGUCACUUCAAAAGGGCCGAAGAACUUGUAGGAGAGCUUGCGGCACGGGCGGUUCGCGACGGUCGACUGCGCGUACGGCUGCAGUUUAAGGAGCACUUUCUCGCCGACAUCGAAGGCGCGCUCCGUGCGAUGACGGUCGGCUUGCUUCUUGAAGAGAGUUUGGACGCGCGCGAGCUGGGCGCGUAGCAUCUCGGUGUGUGUUGUCCAGUCCAGCUCCGGCGACGCCGCUUGAUCUUGCAGGGUGGAGCUCAGGUGUGGUAGGCCGCCCAGGUUCGGUUCCUUGCCGUACAGUGCCUUGAACGGCGAAUAAUUGAGCGAGGAGUGAUGGGCGGAGUUGUACCAGAAUUCUGCCGCAGGAAGCCACUUGCGCCGCGUGUCGUGCACCGCGCACCGCAAGUACAUCUCGAGGCACUGGUUGACGCGUUCGGUCUGGCCGUCCGUCUGUGGGUGGUACACCAUGGAGUAGAGCAGCUUGAUUCCCGUGGCGGCGAGCAGUUCGCGCCACAUGGCGCUCGUGAAAAUCUUGUCGCGAUCCGAGACGAUGGAGUGAGGAACGCCGUGCAGCUUGAUGACGUGCUCCCAGAAUGAUCGGGCGACUUGCGCAGCGGUGAAGGGGUGGUGUAGUGGGAUGAAGUGUGCGUACUUGGUCAGACGAUCGACGACGACCAUGAUGGCAUCAGACCCCUCUGAUUUGGGAAGCCUCUCGACAAAAUCCAUGGUCAGAUCGUGCCAUGGUUCUGUUGGAAUUGGUAGGGGUUGCAGCUUGCCUGCGGGGUGCAUGUGCUCGUGCUUGGCAUGCUGACAGACGGCACACUGACGGACAAAAUCCUCCAUGGCGCGCUUCAGUCCAGGCCACCCGAACAGUUUCCGGAUGCGAUGGUACGUCGCCGUUGCGACGGAGUGACCCCCAAUAGCGCUGUGAUGCAGCGCGGCGAUCAGCUUGGUCUGCAGCGCAUAAUUGGCUCCAAUCCACAGACGCUCGCGCUGCCUGAUCACGCCAUUCUGAAGCAUGCGCCCUUGAUCAUCCGUGGUGGUGACUGCCAGCUUGGCCAGGAGUUCUUGUGAUUCAGGGUCUGUCUCGUAGGAGUUCGUGACUUCUUGUAACCACUGUGGCUGACAGACUGAUAGCGCAUCCAGUGUCAACAGAUGGCCCACCCUGGAUAGCGCGUCAGCGGCACCAUUGUCAACGCCUUUCUUGUACCGAAAGGUGAACUGCAAGCCCACCAUCUUGGACAUGGCCUUGCGCUGCAGCUCAGUCACCAGCCGUUGAUCCCCGAGUGUGCAGAGGCUCUUGUGGUCGGUGAGGAUUUCAAACGAAGCGCGCUGCAGGUAAGGUCUCCACUUGUCGAUGGCCAUCAUAACGGCCAAGAACUCCUUUUCAUACGUGGACAACUUCUGGUUCUUGAUCCCCAAAGCCUUGCUGAGAUAGGCGACGAGGUGGCCGUCCUGGGUCAGCACCGCGCCCACUCCCGUGUCGCUCGCGUCAGUCUCAAUGGCAAAAGGGCGAGAGAAAUCCGGAAGCGCUAGCACUGGUAUGCUCACCAUCGCUUGUUUCAGCAUGUCGAACGCCUGCUGGGCCUUGUCGCUCCACUCGAAUCCCUUCUUGGUCAGGAGCUGGGUGAGCGGCUUCGCAAUGAUGCCAUAAUGUGGGACGAACUUGCGGUAGUAGCCGGUGAGGCCAAGAAAACCACGCAGUUCAGUUGGUGUAGAGGGCACCGGCCACGCCUGCAUCGCGCUCGUCUUGCUUUUGUCCGUGGCGACGCCGGCCUAUGAAAUGAUGUGGCCCAGGUACUCGAUGCUUUCCUGGGCGAAUGGACACUUGGAAGCCUCGGCGAACAGUUGAUGUUCGCGUAGCAGUUCAAGUGUGAGGCGCAAGUGUUGUUCAUGUUCCUGUAGAUCAAAGCUGAAGACCAAUAUGUCGUCAAGAAAAAUGAUGAUGAGCUUACAGACAUAGCGGCCGAAUAUGCUGUUCAUCAGGCACUGGAAGGUUGCCGACGCGUUGCAAAGGCCAAACGGCAUCACCCUGAAGUGAUAGUGCCCGUGGUGGGUUUUAAAUGCAGUUUUUGCUUCAUCCUCCUCACGCAUGCAGAUCUGAUGGUACCCUGCGCGGAGGUCGAUCUUGGAGAAAUAUUUUGCUCCCGCAAGCUCAUCCAGAAGUUCAUCCACAAUGGGCAGUGGGAAUUUGUUCUUCACCGUAGCAGAAUUCAGUCAACGAAAGUCAACACAGAAACGCCAGGUCCCAUCCUUUUUCUUCACUAGCAGGACUAGUGCGGCAUAUGGACUCAUGCUGUGUACAAUGACACCUGAUUGCAACAUCUCUUGCACUUGCUGCUCGAUCUCAUCUUUCUGUGCUGGCGAGUAGCGGUAUGGUUUGGUGUUGAUGGGGGUAGUGCCUGGCUCCAGAUGUAUGCCGUGAUCGUACUGACGAUGAGGGGGCAGGGCCUUGGGUUCAGCAAACAUGUCUUGAUAUUCAGAGAGCACUUUCUGAAUCCUGGGAGGUAUCGGCUCUGUAUUCUCUUUAUCUGACGGCUCAAUCGUGACCAGUGAUGCUGUCCAUAUGUUAUUGGCGACUUCCAUUCGGUGAAGUUCAUAAGUAUCCAGUCCGGCCAUGUGGGAGAGGUUGGUGGUGCGAACCCCUUGCAGUUGCACCGUCUUGCCCUCUGUUUCGAAGGAUAUCCGCUUCAGUUUCCAGUGACAGUUCAUCGGGCUGUGGUCAGAGAGCCAAUCCAUGCCCAAAACUGCGUCAUAUGCACUCAGCCGUAAUACCCGCAGAUCAGUGUGGAACGUCUGUCCUGGCACCUGCCAUGCCAAUUGCUUCACCACCUUGUUACAGUGCAGUCGUUGGCCAUUUGCUACCCGAACAGAGAUGGGCGGCAUCGCUUGGGUGUCGACCGCAAUGCGCUGAAUGAACGCCUCGCUGACGAAGCUAUGAGAACUGUCCGAGUCCACCAGGAGAAGCAUCACUUGAUCCCCCACUUGUGCUCGAAGGCGAACGGUGGACGGCGCGUCUUCGCCGGAAAUCCCGUGCUCCGAUAAGGUACAGCACUCCGGCUCGGGCAGGGCCGGCUCAUUGAGCAAUUGCAACGCGUGCACGGUGUCAUCCGAGAGGAUCUCACCGAAAUCACCCACUUCAAUCAUCAGUAUUUGUCCUGUGCGCUUGCACUGAUGUUCGCGGGAGUACUUGUCGCCACAGCGAAAACAGAGCCCGUUGGCUCGCGUGAAUUCGCGCAGCUGUCGCUCACGUGCAUACUCGUCGCCGCCCGGUCGUGGGGAAGGCGCUGCACGCUCUUGGUUGUGGCUGGGUGUUGCUGGAGGUGCCUGCCCACUGGAACAAUGCGCGGGCGCUGCAGCCGUUGCUUCUCCAGUUCUUCUUCCUGGAUCCUCACGAAAACAGCUGCGCGUGUGAUGCUUGUAGGGGCCUGCAAACGGACGCCCAAUCGCAGUUCAUCUUUUAGACCGAGAAGGAACUGGGAGAUGAAGAAUUGUGUGCUCAAGGUUGGAUCCAGAGACAAUAGGUGGUACAUGGAGGUCUUGAAUUGCUGGCAAUACUCUUGCACGCCCCCAGUCUGAUGCAAUUGCACUAGCUGAUGCAUCUGAGCUUCGAAUUCUUCUGGUCCGAACUCUGCUUCCACUGCUGUUCUGAAGGCUGGCCACGACAGAGCAGGGUGCGUCUGUCUGUACGCCUGAAGCCACAUGGCUGUGAGCCCAUCCAUGUACAGGCCGGCGGUGGCAACCCAACUGUGCCGCGGCACCCGGUAGAGCUCAAAGUACGAGAGACACCGCUCCAGCCAGAUGCGCGGCGCGCCGCCGUCGAAGCGGGGGAAAUCGUGCUUGGGCGGCUUGGUGUAGUGCUCAGCGCCCCGCUCGUACGCCGUGGGCGAGUUUUGCAGCAACAAAGGCGGCCCAUGGUUAAUGAGCCGGGUGAACGGCAACUGAGCUGCACCCUCCGUGUAGAGCGGUGGUGGUGGAGGUGGACGGGUCGUCGGAGGUGGAGGUGGUGGCGGCGGGUGGAAGGAGCCCGCGGUCGUCGACGUACCGGACGCAGAUGCCCCGUGGUUGCUUGUCGUGGCGGGAUCGAGGGGUGGAGGGGACUUGCGGGCCUCAUCCACAUCCGCUUGCGUCAGAUCGAUUUGCUUCGCCAGGUGCUUGAGCUCGGUGGAGACUUGGUCGUUGUAGGCGACUUGCGCUUGGUGGCGCUCGUCGGCGGUCCUCUGGUGGUCAUUGAGGCGGCGCAGGAUGGUCUCAAGGAGGCCCUGCAUCUUGUCUGUAGUUUCCGUCAUCGCGUCCAGCACGCGGCGGGUCUGCGCGGAGGGCUUGGCUGGUGCCGUGGUCGCGAUCCGGAUCGAGGCGAACCCCAAGUAGGAUUUCGAGCGAGCUCACCGAAGCGGCUCACACCUAGCUCGGUGGGUGUUACCGCCUGAUCGGGGACGCGGCGGCGACGGCGGCGGUAGCGGGUGGUGGGGAAAUUUUUUGGGAAGGCUCUGAUACCAGAUUGUAAUGCCCUGGCGGAUCUCGAUCUAGAAUUGGGAUGAGGAAGGAGAGAACAGAGUAGGUGAGAGGCGUGGAGAAGGGGAAGAAGGAUUCGAUCAAUCACUCGCUGCCGAUUCCCUUGGUGCUUCAUACAUAUGUAGCUACCCUCCUGGGCUACCCUUACAUGGCCUCCGGCCCACACGCACACACGGGCUCAAGGCCCACGCACACACUAGCAUUGCAAUUCAAUUAUCUGAAUAACUGACUGCACUAGUUCAGUCCGCUACUGAUGCAUCAGUAGGCGCGACAGAGAGAGGUGAGGAGAAGGGGCCACGCGAGCGAGAAAGAAACAGAUGGGAUGGAAGGCAGAAAGGAAGAGCAGGCCGGCGGGGCUCCUCUGCUUGGUCACCUGAGGCGAGGUGCUCCAGGGGCGAGCAGGAGGAGGCUGGAUCGAGGGUGGUUCGGGUGUCGGGUCUUUGUUCGUGUCCUAGCAGAGAAGAAAACGAAGAAGGAAGAGAGAUUAGAGCAAGGGAGGGAGAAGAAAGCAGUGGAGGAAGGGCGUCACGCGAGCCUGGUUGCGGUCGCCGAUGGAGCUCGCUCCAGCGGCUCGACUCGCCGCGAAGGCUGCCGCCACUGCCGCCGUGCAGUGUGAGGCAGAGCCGACCCGGAGCUGGUUCACCCGUCACUCGUGCUGGGGUCUGACAUGGUGUAAAGCGAGCAGGCUGCCGGAGCCCCCCUGCUUCCGUCCCAUGCACAAGAGGUGUUUGCUGAAAUGCCAAAGAGAGAGAGAGGAGGGAAGGAAGAAGAAGGUUGAUGAUGAUGUGUGGGCCCCACCUGUCAUAACGGUUAACUUAACGGUCAAAAUAAAAAGAGUUGACUUUGCUGCCACGUCAUCCCUGACUUGUGGGCCCAUCCUGUCAGAAAGGCGUUUAGAAGAGGCGAAUCGGGCACUUUGACAGGAUGGGCCCACAAGUCAGGGAUGACGUGGCAGCAAAGUCAACUCUUUUACUCUAUAAAUCGGGCACUUUGACAGGAUGGGCCCACAAGUCAGGGAUGAUGUGACAGCAAAGUCAACUCUUUUACUCUAUAAAUCGGGCACUUAUAAAUUCGUAGAGGCAAAUCGGGCACUUUGACAGGAUGGGCCCACAAGUCAGGGAUGACGUGGCAGCAAAGUCAACUCUUUUACUCUAUAAAUCGGGCACUUAUAAAUUCCACCCAACCUACGAAUCUCCUCUAUAAAUUUCUCAACUCCAUCUAAAAAUAAUAUCCCAAAACCUAAAUAUGUGUGGGGUCAUCACCUCCAUCUAAAAAGGAAAAAAAUCAUUUAAAAAAAUUCCUCAACUCCAUCUAAAAAUAAUAUCCCAAAAACUUUUUCGCUGCGGCCAACCAGCUUGCACCACGUGGCAUAGAUGGUUGGCCAUCCUUCACGCGACCCUUAAUGGGUUUAAUAAUGAUGUCCAUGGGUAGUCACAGAACCAUUGACUUAGAGUUGGUGAAACAACAUUAGCGUCCUUUAUGACCGUCAUGCGGUUUAUGAUUAGAGAAGACAGUAAAAAUAUGGUUGGAGACAUGCAGCAUCUGAGAAAUUUAAAUGAUCAGAGUAGGUUGUGAAGCGAAAGUGCUUAUCUGCACACGAGCACACAUGCACGUGAUAUCUACGCUGUCCGCUCUCACCAAGAUGCGUUACAGGCUGUGUAUCUCCGGAUGUAUAAUCUAUAGUAUUUCCUGUAAAGGAGAAGGCUUGGCCCACAACUGCGAUGCAGUUAAUGCUGCAUGCGCCGUUAAAUCCCACCCGGUACAAAUUUUGACUUAUGUCCUAGGCCGCUUCUUUCUCCUACUGGGCCGUGACAUUUAAGACUGGUCUCCACGUGCCAACCGUCAAGUCUUCUUCAAGUUUCUGGCAAAGCCGGCCUGCAGAGAGAUCGAAUCACCAGUUCACCACGGUGAUCAACUACUACUCUGUUCACUGGACUAUUUGCUAAACCUGGUCACUGGAGCAAUUGCUUUCUCCUCUGUUCUCGUUGCUCUAUUCAGCGGCUGAUGUGUUUAGUCUUUUGUUGGACACAAGGGUGUAACUGUUGACAAGUGGCAGGAGAGGGAAAACUGAAUGCAAUUUGGCACAACAAGAUCAUACGUAAACUGCAGUGCAGAGAAAAUAUCCAAAAUGUUGAAUCAACUAUUCUUUCUUGGUCAUAAACAUUGUCAUUUCAAUGCAGAAAACUAUGAGCUGAAUAAAAAUUGUUGCGGCCAGUUCCGAGUUCAUAAAAUGUUGAACUGAUAGUGCAUCUCUGAAAUUUACCAAUAAAAAUCUAUAUUCAUGCCAAUUGUAUUUCCAAACUGAAUUUAAAAGCUAAUUCAAAACUCCUCUGGUCAGUUCUAAAAUCACAAAAAUAUAGGCCUGCGGUUGUGUUCUUGAAAAAAGCCCACAAUUAUGAGCUGAGAAGUGCUUGAUCCCAACAGUUCCAAAAUCACAAAAAACACAAAGGGAAAGACUAAACACAUCGGCCGAGAAGUGAUUCAUUGUUUUUUUCUUGUGACCUUUGAACAUGUUAUCCUGCAAUUUACACAUAUAACAAAACUCAAUGAGAGAGAGAGAGAGGAGAGAUUAAACAAUGCAGGCUUACAUCUACAUAAUCAAGAGAUAUUGAUUAAUAUAGAAACUGGAAUUAACAAGCAUGAAUGUUAAAUGAUAGUUAGAGCAUGUUCUCAAGGAUUCAACAACGUAAGGUGAGCAAAUAAUAAUCUACAACGUAUUAGACUAGGCUACAAAAGUGUAUAGUAUGUCUAAAGAACGCCAACAAAACCACUAUGCUACAGCAUGUUACCUUCCAACAACAGAGAAUGCUUGAGCAUAAUUUUUUAGCUGAAUGACGAAAAAAGAAGACAAAACAACAAGCCACUAAGCCCAGUGAGAGAAGAAGAGUAUACUCAGUGCUGGCAAGAUAAAGACAUUCAGGAAAACAAUUUGACCGGUUGGCCAACUUAGAGGGUUAUCAUCGCAGACUAGCUCUUCCCAUGUCUGAUACCAAAACCCUUCUUCCAUGAAUAAAGGUUAUAAAAAGCAUACGCCUCUCCCAGAGGGUCAAAACAUGUCCCAAGCAUCGCCAUGAUUACCUUAUCGGUUGGAUUGUUUUGAACGCACCCAACUGCUUCUCAAUUCUCAAGGGCACUUACACGCGACAGGCAUGGUGUCCUUGGGGCAGCAACUCCAAUGCUCAUCCUGCAAAAGUUUCCUUUUAAUACUCAGCAGCAUUCUUGAUCGGAGACCAUGUUCUAAAGAGAAAUUAGAUACAGGGCAACGGUAAAUUAGCAUAGUAAACCAAAAUGGACUCCCAACAUAAUGACGAACAGCCCAAGUGCAUCAUCUUUCCUACUACACACGUUGCAAUUAGAUACAAGCAAUCACAUACAUACGAACUGGGAAAUCUUCAUAUUUGCACAUUGCAAUACAAACAUUCUUUCUCGCAUUUCAGAAUUUAGGGUGUAAUCAUUUCUCCAGGGGCGCAACAAUAUGUGAAAAACGAAUCAUUCAACUCACAACCAUCUGGUGUAUCCCUCUACUGUAGUCUUUUAAUUACAAGCAACCACACACAUAUGAACGCAGAUUGUUCAGAUUUGCACCACGAAUUGUAUGAUUACAAUGUAAGAGAGAAUGUCUCCGUUGCAAAACAUGAGGUGCCAGACUCAUCUGAGAUCCCACCGGUACACUAGCUUGAUAAUUAUGAGCAACCACACACAUAUGAACAGAGAUUGUUCAGAUUUGCAUCACCAAUUUCUUCAGAUUUGUAUGGACAUACCUGCAGCUCCAUCCUGGAGCUCUAAGGUCCAUCUUGCCUAUCAAUUGUUCGGAAGCCUGCAGUGAAUCCUCCUGUGAUCUCCCACCUUCGCCCCCCGCACACAAAUCUGACCGUGAAAGCUCUAGGCGCGAGAGGCUCCAUUUGGGCGUAACUAUCAGUAACCUUCUCAAGCACCAUAGAUCUGCGCAGCAAGAUGAGGAAAUUCCAGAUCGACACCAUGGGAUCCAGAAUCGAACAAAAACUCAGACGAAUCUAAUGAGCUCUUACGCUACCUUAUUUGGCUGCAUAGGAUCUCCAUGCCCACCAGUGGAUGCGGCCCUCCUGGAUUCGCCGCCCCGCAAGCUCACCCCUCUCGCCAUUGAAGAAUCCAGGAGACCAGUACCAUCCGCCCCCAAAUCCUCGCAUUUACUGCUCCGUUGCCAGAGUUAACGAAAAGCACAUAUCCUGAUCCAUGGAUCAGCAACGAAACCGACGAGUUGGUUGAGCCACGGCUCAACUUCCUGCUGUCCACGUCCGCCGGGCGCCGUCUCCGUACUUGCCCAUAGCUCAGGUGUAUUUUCUCCUUUCCAUAUUUACAGAUGCUCGCGAAUCUCGCACAGCUAUUUAAUGCUCCGUAUCCCAACACGCCGCUCGACCGCUCAGAUAUAGAGCACAUAUGAGCUCGAGCGCAGAAACACCGUGUCCAUGAACGUUGUGAAGAGAACUAAAACAGGAUCAACUUUGAGCUGAACUCACAUUUUUGUCUUUGUUAUUUUUGCCUUUUACAAAAUAGUUGGUCCCACACGAAUGUAGUGUAUUUGUGAGUAAAGUACAUUGGUUUAUAUAUGUCCUGGAAGGUUGCUAGUUCCAUAUAUGGGGAUGUAUGUAUUUUUUUAUUUAAAAAAGAUGUUCGACCCAUAUCUGAACUCACCAUCAACUCAAAUCUUUAAAAGCGGGAAAUAUUUUUUCCUUUCUCCUUUUCCUUGCUGGAUCUUUUACUCUAUUACUAUUUCAUUUUUCUAUUUUUUUCCUUUUCAACUUUUAUUUUCAUUUUAGAAAAAAAAUAAAAAAAAUCAACUAUUGUUUGGGAUUUCAUUUUUUUUCUAAUUUCAAAAAAGUAUUCAAACAUGUUUGGGUUUCCAAAAUUGGUUCGGAAUUUCAAAAUAUGUUCCCAUGUUUCCAAACAUGUUGAGAAUAAAAAGGAAUUUUAAAAAAUGUUCAGGAUUGUGAAUAUUGGUCCGAAAUAUAAAAUGUUACCAUUUUCAAAAUUCUUUGGGGAAAUUCAUAAAAAUGUUUGCUUCCUUAAAAAUAUAUGCAGUAAUUAAAAAAAAAUGCUUCCGUUUCUUAAAUUUGUUCACAAAUUCAAAAGAAUUCAGAGUUCUUCGAACCGCCGGCUACAAUAAGCCUUAUGCUAGAGUAACGUACGUAGCUGGUCGUGUCUAUGUUUUGCAGUGUCUUGCUAGAUUUUGUACAUAGCAUCACUAGGAAUGUAAAAUAAGCUAUUCUACAGUCACGCUUAGAAUAGCGUUACCCUAUAUAUAUGUUGCUUAUGUAUACAAAAUAUGUACAUUAUGUUUGAAAAAAUAAAGAAACAAAGAAAAUGGAAGAAGACAAAAAGACCGAAGAACACCAAUGCAAAAGAAUGAAAAUAGAGAAAACCGAGAAAGAAGCAAAGAAAAACAUAGAAAACUGAUGAACAACAAGAAAGAAAGUAAGAAAACCAAAGAAAAAAUAGGAAAGAAAAAACCAGUGAAAACCAAGGAAAAAAUAAAGAAAACUAGAAGAAAGCAGAAACCCCAAUGAAAACCUAUAAAAAACGAAGAAACUGGGAAAAACAAAUGAAGAAACUAAAGAAAAAAAGAAAAAAGAAAAAACCUGAACAAAACCGAGCCAAAAUUAAAAAUAAAACAUCCGCGAGCGAUAGAAUAUCCUGAACCUUUUUUGAAUCAAACAUGAUCAAUUAUUGUACUUGUAUGAAAAGAUUAACCAGAGAAUGACUUUCAUUGUAUCCUGGGUCCAAGAUUCACCAAAAAACGCUAUAUACAAAUACGAUUCAUGCUAUACGGUCGGCAUAAAUUUGCCUUUUUUGAGGUCAAUUAGAACCAUUUCUUGGCCAAACUUUUUAUAGGAGUACAACACUUGAUCAUAUUUAAUUAAAAAAAGGUUCAUAUUUUUUUUGAUUUUUUUGAAUUGCUAAAUUAUUGGGCGUAUAUAGGGUGGGCUGGCACCAAGAGCAUCAAGUUUGUGUCAACUGGACAGCUACCAUAGACGUAAGGUUCAAAAAAGGAAAAAACCAUAGGCUUAUGCAAUCUUUCGAGAAUCCAUGUCUUGCAGCAGACGCCAGACGACGUCCAAGUCCAACACCAUGACAGCCAACUUGUAGCUCAAGCCAAACUGAAUCUAUAGGUCGAGCGGGACCCCGUCGUCGGCACCUGGUAAGUUGCAACUCAAGCCGCAGGCCACCACCGCCGGAAACCGACCGAGCAGAUGCCGCUACCGGACAUCGUCAAGGAGACAGGCCUUGGCCUCAUCCUGGGCGCCAUUGGAGGCUCCUCCUACUACUUCAUCAGUGGCCUCUGCAGCUCCCCCGAAGGCCGCCGGCUUGCCGGCGGCGCCCAGGCAGUCCUUACUAAUGCGCCCCGCAUCGGCUAUUGGGUGGCCUUGUUUGGUCUCCAGGGAGCCAUUGACUGCGCCAUGGAGCACGUGAACAAGAAGGACGACCCCCUCAACACCGUCAUCUCCUGGGCCGGCGCCCACGCCGUCGUCUCCAUGCGCCAGGGGCCACGCGCCGCCGCCCUCGCCGGGUUCAAGGGUGCGGCCGUCGGGGGGCUCGCCGAGAUCGCUGCGUACGGCCUUGAUAUUUGAUGCUAUGAGGAGUUUUUUUUUUCAGCUGCAAGCUCUGCUAAAAUUUAGGAGUUGGAUGCCGUAAUUUUUGUUAACACACAUUAGUAUUUGCAUACAUAUGGGAGCGUCCUGUUCUUCACUCGUUAUUCCCAUUGUUCUAGCUGCGAAUGCAAUCUUUAUAUAUUCUAAGAGCCCUGUAUUUCUCUCUAUUUUUUGUGUGUUCUAUCAAACUCACCACACGUUAACCUGGUUUCCCGCGUACUAACCAGGUAAUUAUCACUUCUUCUUAAUCAAUGAAAAUGAUAAGUCUUUUGCUUCAUUAAAAAAAAGUCACCACACUUUCAACACAAAGCAUCCUUCAUCCAACUUCACAGAUUUGAAUAUACAGAUCAUUGUCAUGGUAUUCAUUGGACAAGUCUUCCUCUGCGUCUAGGUUUGCAUGUGCAUAGAGCGCGUACAUGCAUGCAGACUAAUCUGUCUAUGAUCCUCCACACUAGAUCAGGACGGAACGGACUUGACCUGACCAGACCACACACCGCACCGGUCAGCUCCGUCCCCUCUACCAUGACCGCCUGGGCCUGCACACACAAGGCCACCGUUGUAUUGAAUUCAUACUCCAGCCAACUCAUCUAAAAAUCCAAACUGAUGGAGGGAGGUGAGCAAUAUAUUUCAACACGUUGCCUCGAAACUACCACCACCCACCUUCUGCAGCACAUCGUGUAGGUGCAAGCCACGCCAUUGCCUUGCACCCCCGAGAAAAGCUUGAAUUCAACCUUGAAUUUAUAUUCGAAGUCCGGAUUGAACCAUUACCUUGAAAUUCCUAAACUAGCACCCUGUCAUUUCUAAUCCCGGUCAACCAUAACCAUUUUUUUUCUCAAAAAGCUUUGUUGGCUCUCUAGGAUUGCUUUUGUGGCACAAGCACGAGUGGCGAUAUGUAAGGUUUCUCAUUGGCAUAAUUCGAAUUAANNNNNNNNNNNNNNNNNNNNNNNNNNNNNNNNNNNNNNNNNNNNNNNNNNNNNNNNNNNNNNNNNNNNNNNNNNNNNNNNNNNNNNNNNNNNNNNNNNNNNNNNNNNNNNNNNNNNNNNNNNNNNNNNNNNNNNNNNNNNNNNNNNNNNNNNNNNNNNNNNNNNNNNNNNNNNNNNNNNNNNNNNNNNNNNNNNNNNNNNNNNNNNNNNNNNNNNNNNNNNNNNNNNNNNNNNNNNNNNNNNNNNNNNNNNNNNNNNNNNNNNNNNNNNNNNNNNNNNNNNNNNNNNNNNNNNNNNNNNNNNNNNNNNNNNNNNNNNNNNNNNNNNNNNNNNCCUCACAUCAUCGAGUGCCUGCCAACUAGCCAUUUCUCCAGCCUACUACCCGGGGGCAGAACUAUAGUGUUGGGCCGGGGCCAAUUGACCCCGAUGACCUUGACCCAAACUCUUGUAUGUGUGCUUGGGCCUUUUCAAAGAAAACAAAUAAAAAACUAAUCUAGGUUAGAACCCACCACGAUCACCUAAAUUUCCUAUUUCAUGCCUAGUGGAAUAGUGCUUCUUCCUACAAAACUUGGACCCUCCCGCUAAUGGGCCGACUGAUGUAGGGGGAUAUUUUUCCCAAUUUUGGGAAGAUUCUGCAUAGCUUUUUCUCCUCUUUUGUGUAUCUUGUGUGCCCUUUUUUAAUAUUAUUUUUCAUUUUUUCUUGGCAAGUUUUAAAUUUUUAUUUUUUAAUUUAUGUACAUUAAAAAACACUUUAGAAUAUUUUUUAAAUUCUUGAGCAUUUUUUAAUCUGUUGGCCUUUUAAAUAUUUAGGAACGGUUUUUAAAUUCAUGAACAUUUAUUUAUAUUUGUAAUCAAUUUUAAAUUCAUGAUUUUUUUCUUAUUCUCACGAACAUUUUUGAAUUUUUUUGAUUCAUGAACUGUAUUGAAAAAAUCAAUGUUAUUUUAAAUUCGUGAACAAUCUUUGGAAUACAUAUUUUAUUUACUCUUUUAAAAGGUAGCUGUUUCCAAAGAGAGCAGAAAACCUGCUUUUCAUGUGGAAGUGAACACUCAACAGCGACCAUUUUCCCCAGUCUUGAGAGCUCAAUGCGCGGUCCGUAAAUUUUAAAUCCGUGAAUAUUUUUGAACUUUAGAACAAUAAUAUUAUUCUAAAUUUAUAAAAAAUGAAUUCAUUAAUCUUUAUAAUCUAUAAAAAUAUGGUAAUCUUUUUUGUCUUCAGAAGGGAGCAGAAAACAGAUAUUUGAUGUGGAGGUGAACACUUAGCAGCGAUCGAUUUUCCCGUCGAAGCCAGUCGUGAGAGCUAAAUGGGCCGGGCCAUCCACCACCGUAACGUGCAAACUUUCGAGAAUCGGUGUCCGUGUCUUGCAGCAGACGUGAGAGGCGAGGAGUCCAACACCAUGACUGCCAACUUGUAACUCAAGCCAAGUUGAGUUAUUAUAGGUCACGCGAUAUCUCGUCGUCGCCAACUUAUAACUCAAGCCGCCGGCCACCACCGCCACGCCACUUCCAUACACCGCCGGAAACCGAUGGAGCAGGGCACCAACACGGCGCCGGCGCCGCUACCGCAAGUCGCCAAGGAGACAGGCCAUGGCAUCGCCGUUAUCGCCGCUGGAGGCUCCGCCUUCUACUUCCUCAAGGGCCUGCGCAACUCCCCCAAAGGCGGCCGCCUAGCCGCCGCCGCCCAGGCGGUCCGCACAAACGCGUCCCGAAUCGGCGGCUGGGGGGUCUGGCUCGGCGCCCAGGCAGCAAUUGACAGCGCCCUGGAGCGCGUGAACAAGAAGGACGACCGCUUCAACACCAUGAUCUCCUGUGGCGCCGCCAGCGCCCUCGUCUCCGUGCUCCGGGGUCCACGCGCCGCCGCCCUCUCCGGGAUCAAGGGCGCCGUCUUCGGUGGGCUCGCAGAGAUCGCUAUACGCGGCCUUAAACGCUUCGAGGCCGACCUACCGGAACCGGAGAAGUGAUCAAUGGUGCUGUGAGGGUUUUUCCGGCUGCUUUUCCGAUCGAGCUUGCCCACUAAACUUUUAUUACUGCUUGUACUCUGAAAGUCUGAAUGUUACUAAAAUUUAGGCGCUGUACGUAAUUUUUGUUAAUACGCAUUACUACAUCUACAUACAUGGAUCGUUUUUUUGUUUCUUGAGCCGUUGUUCCCGUUGUUCAAGAUGCGAGUGCGAUCAUAGUAUAAUCUAGAGCCCAACGAGGAGAUGAUGUAGGAGCUCGGCGGCAUCAUCUUCAGUCUCCACCGUACUCCUCAGCACCGAAGCCUUCUUUGAACUUGCAUGGAAUUAUUACAAUUGACUAUGCGGAUCACUGAUAUUCAUCGGUCAAUUCUUCCUCCAUGUUCCUAAAAAAGUUCACGUCCAUAUCAGUUAUCGUUCUUGGCAUACAGUUAUACACGACCCACACCGGAUGCAAAUAUUGGCCCAAAGCCAUCGUUCAGUUGUUUGGCGCAUGGAAGAAGUGGCCGUACAAACCGUCAGGCCGGGCAUCGAUCAGCAUGUGCACACAUCCAUACAUGCAUGAUCCACACACCCCACAAUCGGCAAAAACUAGCACAUCCAUGUCGAGGGCAUCUGCCAAACACAGUUCCCUAAUGGCUUUGAGAAGGUCUGCGGGCAACUUCAGCCGGUAGUCGUGCCAAUGUUUCUACAAUGAGACUACAUGUCACAUCUGAACUUUGGUGUCAUUACCCUGAUCCUUGGUUGAGGCAACGGAUAUUCGACACUUUAGACCGAUCACGGUGAUUAAAGUGAUCUAGCGGAUUCUUUUGAAGGUGUGUGUGGCUUGGUUUGCCCCGGUGGUGGAACACCUUUCUCGCCCCUAUGAGUCCACUUUUCUAUAAGGUCGUCAUGUUCAUGGUGGGAUCCAUGGAAAAAAAAUCAUGGUGGGAUUCUGGCUCUUCGUGAGAUUUGAUCAUGAGGUUACAUAAAGGCGUAUUCCUUAAGUUAGACUUCGAAAAGCCAUACAAUCACAUUAAUGAAUCCUUCCUUCAUUUAGUUUUUUAGUGGAGGGGGUUUGAGGAAGGCUGGUGCUCGUGGAUCAUGAAGUUGAUUCGGAGCAGCAUCAUCAUGAUUAACAUUAAUGGGGAGGUAGCCCCCCUCCCCCCCCCUCUUUAGGUAUUCUCGUGGGUUGAGGCAGGGGGAUCCUAUUUCCCCACUCAUCUUUAACCUCGUAGGCGAUGCCCUUGCAGCCAUCUUGGAUAAGGCAAGGAUGGCCGACCACCUCUUUGGGGUGGUUGUGCAUCUUAUCGAUGGAGGUGGUGUCACGCACCUGCAAUAUGCGGAUGAUACCAUGAUUAUGGCCGAGGGGUGACAUUAAUGAAUGUCACCCCUAUCUCUCAUCCAAGAGGUGGAGGAAUGUUGCCUUUAAGUAGGGCUGGAAAAAAAGCUCGAAGCUCGUGAGCUAAAUGAGUAGCUCGUGACUCGGCUCGAAUCGACUCGAACUCGAAGAAUAACGAGCCGAGCCGAGCUUUAGUUUAAGAUCGUUUAUAGACCAAGUUAAACGAGCCAAUCUCACGAAUACUCGUAUAACUCGUUAGGCUCGGUGCAAAAGAUCAGCCACUCCCAAUACAAAAAAAGAUCAGCCACUCAACACCCUAUGUCCCAGGCGCACAACACAAGGCCUAGCCGUUGAAGGCCCAACCGCCUAGGAGACUCAUGCGUUACAAGGAAAUUACUAUUUUUAGUGAUAUAUAUGUUUAAUAUAUACAUAAUCAUUUUUAUAAUAUUUGAGGGUUUUAUGUUCAUAUCUUUAACGAGCUUAACAAGCUAAAUGAGCUAGCUCGCGAGUUAUACAAGUCGAGCCAAUCUUGAAUUUGAACUCGUUAUAAUAACGAGUCGAGUCGAGCUAGUUCGUUAACGAAACGAGCUCUAGUGAGUCGAGCCGAGCUGGCUCGACUCAGCUCGAAUUCCAUCCCUACCUUUAAGUGUUGUAUGAACUUUAUGUAUGAACUUGUAUUAAUUUGGUCUAUUCGGUGCUGUGUAAUGAAG